CGACCGGCGCACGGGUGCGUAACGCGUAUGCAACCUACCUGUAAUUAGGGGAUAACCCGGUGAAAGUCGGACUAAUACCCUAUAUUCUUCUUUAUUCGCAUGGAUAUGGACGGAAAGAUUAAUUGAUUACAGAUGGGCAUGCGUCCCAUUAGCUGGUUGGUAAGGUAACGGCUUACCAAGGCAACGAUGGGUAGGGGGACUGAGAGGUUGACCCCCCACACUGGUACUGAGACACGGACCAGACUCCUACGGGAGGCAGCAGUGAGGAAUAUUGGUCAAUGGGCGAGAGCCUGAACCAGCCAAGUCGCGUGAAGGAAGACGGUUCUAUGGAUUGUAAACUUCUUUUGUAGAGGAAUAAUGGCGGUUACGCGUAACCGAGAUGCAAGUACUCUACGAAUAAGCAUCGGCUAACUCCGUGCCAGCAGCCGCGGUAAUACGGAGGAUGCGAGCGUUAUCCGGACUUAUUGGGUUUAAAGGGUGCGUAGGUGGCUUGUUAAGUCAGUGGUGAAAAGCUGCAGCUCAACUGUAGUCUUGCCGUUGAAACUGACGGGCUAGAGAGGAAACGAGGUAUGCGGAAUGUGUGGUGU
rnacentral:rRNA from 1 species